AGGCUAUCCCAUGACAUUUGCCUCACAGAAAAAGACAUCGGGCAUCUCUUGGUUAGCAGGAGAAUGACUUUGGCAAGAGGAGGGUUUGAGCAGCUGUAUCCAUCUUCAGAGGCAAGACAGCUCACAAAUUUCCUGUCUUCAUUGGAUCAAAAUAUACAACGGCUCGUGUUCUCGACCUCGCGAACACGACGAGGAAGUGUGCAGGAUGUAAGUCAGCAGCACCAAACGGCACAACUUCAUGAGCUUGCAUUGAGUUUGGAGACUAUAUACGGCUCUGCGCAGGACCAACCUCUUAC